rnacentral:rRNA from 1 species
UACGAGGGGAGCUAGCGUUAUUCGGAAUUACUGGGCGUAAAGCGCACGUAGGCGGCUUUGUAAGUUAGAGGUGAAAGCCCAGAGCUCAACUCUGGAAUUGCCUUUAAGACUGCAUCGCUUGAAUCCAGGAGAGGUGAGUGGAAUUCCGAGUGUAGAGGUGAAAUUCGUAGAUAUUGGGAAGAACACCAGUGGCGAAGGCGGCUAACUGGUCCAGAUCUGACGCUGAGGUGCGAAAGCGUGGGGAGCAAACAGG